GGAGGCCAUAGCUCAGUGGUAGAGCAUCUGCUUUGCAUGUAAAAGGUUCUAGGUUCAACCCCCCUACAUCUCCA